GAUGAACGCUAGCUACAGGCUUAACACAUGCAAGUCGAGGGGUAACGAGAGGAAAGCUUGCUUUCCUUGUCGACGACCGGCGCACGGGUGAGUAACGCGUAUCCAACCUGCCCCCAACUAGGGAAUAACCUUGCGAAAGUAAGACUAAUACCCUAUAAUUUCCUCAGAUGACAUCUGACGAGGAAUAAAGAUUUAUCGGUUGUGGAUGGGGAUGCGUCUGAUUAGCUUGUUGGCGGGGUAACGGCCCACCAAGGCAACGAUCAGUAGGGGUUCUGAGAGGAAGGUCCCCCACAUUGGAACUGAGACACGGGCCAAACUCCUACGGGAGGCAGCAGUGAGGAAUAUUGGUCAAUGGGCGGAAGCCUGAACCAGCCAAGUAGUGUGCAGGAUGACGGCCCUAUGGGUUGUAAACUGCUUUUAUACAGGAAUAAAGUUAGCCACGUGUGGUUAUUUGUAGGUACUGUAUGAAUAAGGACCGGCUAAUUCCGUGCCAGCAGCCGCCGUAA
rnacentral:rRNA from 1 species